AGGUAAAAGGUUCAGCAGGAUAUAUGGAAUAAAAUGCUAACAGUGGCUGAACAAAAUACAGUUUUUUGUUUUUUAUCUCAGACAACUGGACUUUUGAAAGUUGUUUCCUUUUCAAUUUGUGGACAAGAAUGAAGAUUGAUACAAAAAGAAGUCUCUACUAGGCAAUUUUGUUACACGAUUAAAACUGACAGAGACUCAGCACGUAAAUGAUGGUUUUAAUUUAAAUUUCUGUGCUACCAGCCAAGAAUGCAAAGGAUAAAUAGGAAAGUGGAUGCCAGAUCAAGAGAUAAAAGUCCUGAAAUGCUGUUGAAAUGACAUAAAAGUGCAUAUUUCUCGAAGCUUCACACGUUCUACUUAGAACAAUAAUGAAAUUCUUUUGAACUGUGAUCUUGGAUUUCUGGAAAUCAGACUGUCAUAGGUCUAAACAAAUUACAAAUCCUCGUUUCUUUUUAUAAGAAUAAUGAAAACAAAGGCAAAGGAUUGGAAAACAAGUCAACUGGUGAUUGGUUGGGCCUUGGAAAGAGUCACAGAACUAGGAUGGUCAAGUCAACCUUCUUUCAAGUUCCUGUUGUGUCUGCUAUCCUACUGUAAUAACUAGAAUGCUCCCAGGCACAGAGAGCAUUUUGAUCCGCCUUAUGAGCCAAGUCUGAGGUUGUGAGGGAGACUUGAUGGUUCAUCUAGCUCUUAAGCCACCAGCUGAGUGUCCAACCUGUCAAGAGUAGAGACCGUUGUUGAACCUUCUCCUUAUUUCCAUUCCUCAGAUAAUCAACCAACCAUUUUGCAGCAGAUUGAUGACAAACAGACACCAGUGACAGUUUGUUCUCAAAUAGACUCUUAUUCUGGAUACAAAUUUGGAUUCCCUAUUCCAUUGCUUCUAUCGGUAUCACUGUCUGUGGAGUUACUUAAUAUCUUAUUUGCCAUUGUGGUAUCCUACACAACUUUCUCAGCAAAGAACAUAUCUUUUACAGUAAAAGAUGUAAGGAAAAGGCUAACACUCAUGAGCUUCACAGGUGUCAUCACAUGUCCCAUCCGUUAGCUUGAUGAAAUGGUGGAAUAGCCUGGUAAUGGCUCAGUUGUGUUCCUACCUGGAUGACAGGUGAUGCAAGGAUGCUGAGCUGCCUUAUAAAAUUUUGAUGUAUAUUUUGAGACAAUGGCAGUGCAUACGAGUUUACGAAACAAGGAGUGGAAAGAGAGUGUUUUUUAUUAUCCUACACAGUAUUUUUAAUUGAGAGUGAUUUUGCUUCUUCCCCACUGCCCCCAAAGAUGUUGGGUAAUGUCUGCAGACAUAUUUUAUUUUCAUGACUCCAAGGGUGCUACUGGCAUAUAGAGGUAGAGGCCAGGGGUGCUGCUAACUAUUCUACAAUGCGCAGUGCAGCUCUUAUAACAGAGAAGAAUCCAAUCCAAAAUGUCAACAGUGUUCAUACUGACAAACCCUGCCCUCCACCUAAUGACAUAGUCACAGAAUGUGUGAUUCCCAUUAAUGGAACUCUGGGCUCCUCCAAGUGCUCUUAGUUCCAACGGACGGAAUUAAUAUCAUCUAUGGCCUCAUAGCCAAUUAUAGAUAUGAGGACUAUUAUAGCUACACACAUUUUUUUCCCUUUCUUUGUCAUAUAUAGUCCUUAAGUUUGCAUUUUCCCUCUUAAUUGAGUAUCUUACAUAAGGAGUGUUGAUGGUAGUUAAUUUAAUAAUUUUGUCUCUAGGCUAUAAAAUAUUCAAGAUUGUAACCAGCUAAAAGAGUAAAUACAUAAUGCAGAUAUGAGCACUAUGUCUUUUGGGACUUCAUGUUUUCAUUUUGAGGGAAAAAGUGAAGUUCAUCACGGUUUAUGGAAGAACUGUAUCAUUUUAUUUUAUUUAUUUUUUGAACUGUAUCAUUUUAAAUGGAAGCAUUAUAUUAUUCUUUUUGUUGUUUAUAAGUAUAAUAUGGGCAUAAAAAUGGGAAUGGAUAUUAAAUGAAAGUCAAAUGGGGUAGACUAUGAAAUUUUCCUGUUGGCAACAUAAUACAAUUCCCCCUCCCUUCCAUGUUUUCAUCUUAUAUAACCAAAGUCACACUUAUCUUUACAGAAUUAUUUUAGUUAACUUUCCCACCUCCAUCCUUUUUACUCAAAACUCCUACUUCUUUCAUGUCUUCAUAUGUUUUUGCGUGGCAUUCUCUAGGAUCCUCCACCUCCAUAUUUCAAAGUUAUCAAUGUAUAUUUUAAAACAGCCCCAAAGCCAACACACCAGUGAUGUAUUCUCUGAAUUCUCUAAUCAUAAGUAAUAAUUUAUUCUUCUAUGCUCCUAUGCAAAUAUAUGCAAAUAUUUAAUAAAU